GUUUUCUUCUCCUACGUUCGGUAAGGUUCACACCGCGCAUAUGCUUGUUUUAUCCUUCUCAAGCAUCUGAUGCAAAUAUGUAUGAAAAUAAAGAAGCCAUAUCUACUUCACAUUGUUCUCAGUCAAACACUAACGAAAUGCGCAUGGAAUGGUGUUUCCAGCAGGAAAGAUCAAACUUUUGUGGAACUUGUAUAAGCAACAUAUGAGAAGGAGUUGAGAUAACUCAAAGCUGAACGGAAAUCAAGUCGAAAUGAGCAGUGUGGCAGGGAAAUGCAACACUUCUUUGCUACAACGUGUGCUCUCAUGUGGGUUUCGAUACCAUUUCCUUUUUCUGAUAAAUUGGCUACGUUGUCACCCUUUUUUAAUUGGGUUAUGAUAUUAAGAGAUUUGUUUUUCGUGUUUUAUAAGAAAUUUGUAGAUGUUAUGGUGGAUGAUAACUAUGUAGUUUUAUAUCAUACAAUGUGAAUUGUCUUUGAGGAUUUUAUUUAUGUUUCUUGC